GAUCGGAACCGCCUUCGGGGUACCGAGCGGCGAACGGGUGAGUAACCGUGAUCAACCUGCCCCUGGUCUCUGAGGAUAGCCUCCGGAAACGGGGAUUAAUACCGUGACAUUCACUCUUCUGGGCAUCCUAAAGGGUGGAAAGUUUUUUCGGCCAGGGAGGGGCUCGCGGCCUAUCAGCUUGUUGGCGGGGUAACGGUCCACCAAGGCGAUGACUGGUAUCCGGCCUGAGAGGGCGACCGGCCACACUGGGAUUGAGACACGGCCCAGAUUCCUACGGGAGGCAUCAUUGGGGAAUAUUGCGCAAUGGGCGGAAUCCUGACGCAUCGACUCCGCUUGGGGGAUGAAGGCCUUCGGGUUGUAAACCUCUUUCACCAUGAGCGAAUCUGAUGGUACCUGUGGAAUAAUCGCCGGCUAACUACGUGCCAUCAGCCGCGGUAAU
rnacentral:rRNA from 1 species